GCCAUAUCUCGUUGAAGUAACGGUUCGCGUACGAUCACCGAAUUUAAGCAAAGUAGGCCGUGGUCAGUACCUAGAUGGGUGACCUCUUGCAAAUUCCAGGUGCUGUUA